UAGAGAUGGAUUGACAAUCUCUAUUAUGUCCAUCAUAGAAAUAGAGAUGAGCAGGAGUCAGGAGAAUAUUAAGAACUGACUAUUCUCUUUUAAAACUAAGAUAGUAUGCAGUGAAUUCAUAAAGAUGAGAAAAAUAGUUAAGCUUAUAACAGACAGGGAAGAAGACUAUUGACUGUGUACAAGAUCUGACUGGAUCGGAAUAUUGACUAUGUACUAGAUGUAAAGAAGACUAAACUAAUGACAAGGGGUGCAACAACCACCCUGAUAAUGAAGACACUGAAGUGGUGGAUAGCUUCCGCCUCUUAGGACUGACCAUCAAUAGUAAAGGAUCCAGCAGUCAAGAAAUGCUCUGCAGACUAGCACUUGGUAGGGUAGCAAUGAAGGCCUUGGGAAGGAUAUUCAGAUGCCGUGACGUGUCUAUAUCUACAAAGAUUAGAAUUGUUCAGACCAUGGUUUUCCCUGUGACACUCUAUGGAUGUGAAAGCUAAACUUUGAAGAAGCAAGAUAGAAAAAGUAUUGACGCUUUUGAACUUUGGUGCUGGAGAAGACUUUUGAGGAUACCAUGGACAGCCAGGAAAACAAACAAAUGGGUCAUAGAACAAAUCAAUCCAGAAUUUUCACUUGAGGCACAAGUGACCAGGCUCCAACUAUUCUACUUUGGACACAUUAUGUGAAGACCCAGCUCCCUUGAGAAGUACAUAAUGCUGGGGAAAGUUGAAGGAAAGAGAAGAAGAGGACGACCAGCAGCAAGGUGGAGGGACUUGAUUACGACAGCAGUGAAUGCACCACUGAGAGACCUAUCAAUCAACUAGAUGUGUGUUGUGUGAUGUCUGUUAUACUAAUUGCUAUACUAUACUCAACUAAUUGAUAGUAAUUAUUUUGUAUAUAAUAUAUUGAUUUUAUAAUAACUUUUAAAAAAAAUCCUGAGGUAGAGGAUAUGAUGAUUUGAGCUGCAGUUAAUUUCUGAAAUUAGAGGUGUAAAGCGUCAAAGCUUUUGUGUGGGUGGGUGAAAGCCAUACUCUUACUAUGAACAUACCUGUGCAUUAAAGACCAGGCACAACUUUCCACUCUGAGGGGGGGAAACCCUGCUUGCGAGGGGAUUAAAAAAUGAUGUCCACAGGGAUUAAAACAAAACUCCAAAAAACUAUUCUUGGUAAUGUGGCAUGUGGGGACGUUUUAUCAAAUGCACAAACCCACUGGGUAUUAUAUAUUAUAGGAAGCCUUUGUCAAAUAUACUACUGUGCUCUUUCACAUUGACUGAACACUUUAAUUCUCUUUUUCUGAUUGUUUUUAAUAUCAUGGAUUCUAUAGAGCCAGUGAAGCCAAGGAAAACCUUAAAGCAAUUAAAAUCAGCUGAGUGUUGAUAAUUUAUAUAAUUUAAUUGGCAAGGAAAAAGAAUGUGCAAUGUUUAACCAGUUUUGCUUUAAAAAUCUUGGGCUGGAUGUUGUUUAAUUAGCAUAUUUAUUACCACUUUAAUUGGUAAGAUAGUUUUUUUUUAAUUGGAAGCCUUUUCUCUCUCUCCAGGGCAAAUGCCUUCUUAUACAAACAUGCUGGAUUCCUUACACUGGCAGUUAUAUAAUAACCAUAACAUCUCAUUAUUACUGGUGGAGCUGCUUGUAAGUGAGAGUUCAGCCUGGUGUUGUAAGGAUGAUGAGAUGGAGAGAAAACUGCAGCGUCAGCUCACCUUGAAGCAAGUCAAGAAGAGUCAAAGCAGGGAAGAGGUGAAUGAGUAAUCUGUAGUUGAGGCAACUGCCAGAGACAAUUUAUUUCUACAUUCAAAACGUUCUGAAGGAAACUGGACAGCAAAAGGCUGUUCUGUGCACUGUGUGGUUUGUGCACAUGCAUUUACAUAGAUGUGCCCUAGAUACAAAAUGCACUCAUUCCUCCACCCCACUGUAGCAACUCACACUAACAAUGUUUUAAAGAGACAUCUACAACAUCUCCCCAAAAGGCAGAAAUUGAGGCAAAUUAGGGGCAGUGUUUCACUGUGGACAGGUUCUAAAAAUGGGGAAAGUUGCAGUGUAUGUUCUUGCACUCAUAAUUCAUCAUAGUAUUUGAUAACUCAGGAGGUUCCUCCUCCCAAUGCUAUGUCUCCCCACAUUUUCAUCUGGGACUUAAAAAGUUGCUACUCACUCAACCCUACUUCAGAAAGGCUAUUUACCCACCCUCACCUCUUACUGCAAGCCACUGUGUUCUUGCCUUUUGCCUAACUCCUCUUUGCUUCCUCUGCUCCCUGCAUUUCCUGAUUACCAGAAGAAUUCUCCAGUCAAAAAUGUAUUCCUGUGCUCAUUUAUUAUUCACCAAAAGAUGUACAUUCUGCCUUAAGUUUAAAGUUAAUUUUUCUUUAGACUUUAAAGUUUAAAAUCGGAUUCGGGCUGACCUAGAUGGAGACUCCACAAUUAAUUUGAUGUCUGAGCUGGAGGUGCCCAACAACUCCUCUUAUGUGAUUUGACUGGAUCAGUUUCAGUUUGUGACUCCUGAGGAUGUGGACAGGCUGCUUGGAGCGGUUGAUUGUAAUAAAGGGCAAAGCCCCACAAUUUUGGA